rnacentral:rRNA from 1 species
UGGUUCCUACGGGGGGCAGCAGUAGGGAAUUUUCGUCAAUGGGCGCAAGCCUGAACGAGCGAUGCCGCGUGAGUGAAGAAGGCCUUCGGGUCGUAAAGCUCUGUUGCGGGGGAAAAAAGGCAGCAUCAGGAAAUGGGUGCUGACUGAUGGUGCCCCGCCAGAAAGUCACGGCUAACUACGUGCAAGCAGCCGCGGUAAUACGUAGGUGGCGAGCGUUUUCCGGAAUGAUUGGGCGUAAAGGGUGCGCAGGCGGUCCUGCAAGGCAGGAGUGAACUGCAUGAGCUCAACUCCU